rnacentral:ncRNA from 1 species
CGGCAAGAUGUGUGUUGUGGGUCCACAGGCUUCGCCUGUUCCCCCCCAACACCGCCCCUUACUCACCUGCGGUUCGACGGCAUCUUGCUCUGCGAGGCU